AUAGAUACCCUGGUAGUCCACGCCGUAAACGAUGAGUGCUAAGUGUUAGAGGGUUUCCGCCCUUUAGUGCUGAAGUUAACGCAUUAAGCACUCCGCCUGGGGAGUACGGCCGCAAGGCUGAAACUCAAAGGAAUUGACGGGGGCCCGCACAAGCGGUGGAGCAUGUGGUUUAAUUCGAAGCAACGCGAAGAACCUUACCAGGUCUUGACAUCCUCUGACAACCCUAGAGAUAGGGCUUCUCCUUCGGGAGCAGAGUGACAGGUGGUGCAUGGUUGUCGUCAGCUCGUGUCGUGAGAUGUUGGGUUAAGUCCCGCAACGAGCGCAACCCUUGAUCUUAGUUGCCAUCAUUAAGUUGGGCACUCUAAGGUGACUGCCGGUGACAAACCGGAGGAAGGUGGGGAUGACGUCAAAUCAUCAUGCCCCUUAUGACCUGGGCUACACACGUGCUACAAUGGACGGUACAAAGAGCUGCAAGCCGCGAGGUGGAGCUAAUCUCAUAAAACCGUUCUCAGUUCGGA
rnacentral:rRNA from 1 species